GGUGCAGUUGGGCUUCUCAGAGAGGUUAGGCUUGGUCUGGGGAGGAGGAGGAGGAGGAGGAGGAGGAGGCUCUCUGAAGACCGGCGGCCCCUUGAGGUUCCCAGCCUCCAGAAUGGUCAGAAACAAACUAGUUCGCUCUUCCACGUAUGAGAAAUACUAGUACAGUGGACCCUCAAGUUACAACUGGCCUGACAUUCAAACAACUUGGGUUAAUUAGUAAUUUUGGAUCUUUCGUCUAGGCCUUUGAUCCAUUUUGUGGAUAUUUGCACCAGGAAGAGAGACUAGGAAGAAAUAUAUGCCCUUAAGGAAUUCUGAAUUCAUGAUUACCCUAAAUCCAAGAAAGUUCAUAUUUGGAAUGCUUUAUGGAAAAGAACAAAAUGUAGAAGCAAAUCAUCCUGUCUCCACAGCUAAAAAUGCUUUUUACUGUUGUACUAUGAGUCAUAUAUUCUUCAUAUAAGAAGUGUUAUAUCAAGUAUUGAAUUUGAUACAGAUAUGGAGACUGACAUACAGAAUAUAUUAUAAUUACAACAUAAAUAACCACCAAGAAAUUCUAAAUAUUUUUCCAAUGACUUUCACAAGUAUCAUCUCUCUUACAAAGAAGUCUCAUUAUUAUCUUUUACUGAGAAGACUUUAGAGAAGGUUAAAGACUGCGGAGAUCUACUCAUUUAUUAGGUGUAAAAUGUUGGCUUGUUAGAAAAACAAAAUGUUCAUCUAGGUGCUGUCAGGACACAGAAGGAAAAUUGAUCUCACUGAGAUCUUUCUUGUAUAAAUUCUAAAUAACUUACUCAAGAACAUGGCUUAAGCUAAAAGAUAUUACCAGUCAGGUUUUGGUAUAGCAUUGUAUGUACCGGGCCUGACAACCCAUCUGUCUGUUCCUUACCCCACUAAAAUUCUAUGCACCUCUCAAACAUAAAGAUUAGUAAGGAAAAUGGCACAAGCAGAGCUAAAUUUUAAAAGCUUAUUUUUCCCCUCUUUCCUUUCUCUCCCUUAUUUUUUUUUCAAAGUGCAUUAGUGAUUUAUAACCAGCUGAAAAAUUAGCAGGCAGACAGGACAAGCUAUCUUCUUUUUCGUAGGUCAGCCAGGCUGGACCGCAGUGAGAGCCCCUGGACAAUGCAGGCAGAUGGCCGACAUAAGCACUGGUGCCAUCUGACCUUCCUGGGCCAACAGUGCCACGCAUCUCCUCAGGCCUGCAUGCGAGCCCAGCUCAUGGUGAGUGGCACUGUUGCAGGACUCAAUGAGCCAAAGGACACUAACAGUACCCUGGGGACCCCCGAUAGCACACUUUGUUCAACUCAUGAACAACAGGCUCACCACAGCAUAAUAUGAAAACCAGAUUUCCUUUACAAACCAUCUGAGUGGAGCUACUGAUGCUCUCCAGGAUUUGUUACCCAGAAGUAAGAAACUCAAAGCUUUGAGCAAAACAAGGAGGCAGCUGAGUCAUUUUAUAUCAAGGAUUCCAGACACCAUUGCGUAUGUCUCAAGGUGUUUUCACAUGUUACUUCCCAGACAUGUCAAAAGGUUUGGGCAAGUCCUGCAGACUCAGACGAUCUCUCCAUUUCACAAUGAAGAAUCAGGUCCCAAGAGUUGAGGGAAAUGCUCAGGGUCCCAGGAACUGGAUAAAAUACAAGUUCUCAUGAUUCAAAGAUUCCUCCACUUUACACAUUCAUAUUUAUGCCAUAUUUUACAUUUUUAUUAAAUGCAUUAUAAAUAUUAAUGGUGAUCUGUAGGAUAUUUCCGUAUAUGCAUACAGGGUGCACAGAUAAAUCCAAACCACCUUUUUCCACUCCCUUCCCAAGCCUCCUGAACACUUUCCAAUGCCUAGGAAUCACUAUUCUAUUUUCAGGUAGAUUGUUUUUAGCUUCCACUUAUGAGAACAUGUGAUAUUUGUCUUUCAGUGCCUAGCUUGUUUCGUUAAAGAUAGUUUUCCGUUUCCAUCCAUUUUGCUGCAAAUGGCAUUUUACUUUAGAGUAGAACACGCCACUGUGUAUAUAUACCACGUUUUCUUUAUCCAUUUGUCUUUUGAUAGCCUUCUAAAUUCAUUCCAUGUGUUGGCUAUUGUUAAUGGUUCCACAAUAAAUGGGCAUAGAGCAUCACUUUGGUACAUUGACUUCAUCUCCUUGUGCUAUAUAAUUGCAAGCAGGAUUGUUACAUCACAUGGUAGUUCUAGCUUUAGUUUUUUGCAGAACCUCCAUACUGUUCUCCAUAAUGGCUAUAUUGAGACACAUCCCUAUCCAAGUGUAAAGAGCUCCUUUUUCUCUGAAUCUUUGCCAGCAUUUGUUAUGUGUUAGCUUUUCAAUAAUGGCCAUUGUAACUAGGGUGACAUAUGGUAUCUUCUUGUAGUCUUGAUUUGCAUUUCCCUGACAGUUGAUAAUAUGGUUUAGACCUCAAAUCUCCCCAAAGGCCAUGUUUUGAAAGCUUGGUCCCCAGUUGAUGGCACUAUUGGGAGGUGGAGGAAACUUCAGGAAGUGGGGACUAGUUGCAGGAAGUAGGUCAUCAGGCCACACCCUUGAAGGCUAUAGGAGAUACUGACUCCUCCCCAUUCUCUUUCUCUCCUUCUCCAAGCCCCUCCUUCCUAGCUGCCCUGAGGUAUGCAGGGCGUCUUUGCUCCACCAGGCAUGCUCCACCAUUAUGCUGGCUUUGCCUUAGGCCCAGAUCAAUGGGGCCAUGUGACUAGACACUGAAACC
rnacentral:lncRNA from 1 species